UGCGAAGGGGGCUAGCGUUGUUCGGAAUUACUGGGCGUAAAGGGCGCGUAGGCGGUGUGUCAAGUCAGGCGUGAAAGCCCCGGGCUCAACCUGGGAACCGCGCUUGAGACUGGCACGCUGGAGUCCGGGAGAGGAUGGUGGAAUUCCCAGUGUAGAGGUGAAAUUCGUAGAUAUUGGGAAGAACACCGAUGGCGAAGGCAGCCAUCUGGACCGGCACUGACGCUGAGGCGCGAAAGCGUGGGGAGCAAACAGG
rnacentral:rRNA from 1 species